ACAUCAUCAGAUGGAACAUCAAAUACUGCAAUCAAAAGCCAAAGUCUAAUCAUCCAUUGCAGGGUCCUAUGGCAGUGGAGGAAACUGACGAUAAAAAUGCUACAUGAACUGAUCGAAUCGUCUAAAUUCCUUAUCCAGUCAGGCAUCCAAAUGCGCAAGUCUCUCGUCUAGUCGGACAUCCAUAUGUGCAAAUCUCUCCCUAACAAAUAUCUCCAUUGCAUCCAUCCGAGCAAACAAAGUAUGUA
rnacentral:lncRNA from 1 species